UGCCAGCAGCCGCGGUAAUACGGAAGGUCCAAGCGUUAAUCGGAAUUACUGGGCGUAAAGCGCGCGUAGGUGGUUUAUUAAGUUGGAUGUGAAAUCCCCGGGCUCAACCUGGGAACUGCAUCCAAAACUGAUUCACUGGAGUACGAUAGAGGGAGGUAGAAUUCACAGUGUAGCGGUGGAAUGCGUAGAUAUUGUGAAGAAUACCAAUGGCGAAGGCAGCCUCCUGGAUCUGUACUGACGCUGAGGGACGAAAGCGUGGGUAGCGAACAGGAUUAGAUA
rnacentral:rRNA from 1 species